rnacentral:sRNA from 1 species
UAAGUUAAUAGGGAACCGCGAAUAAUGAUUGGUUUCAUAGAUGCACGAACACGUCAAUAUUCAAAAUAAUUCAACCGAGUUUGAAAUUAUUCCUUAACGAAACCCUCCAAUAAUCAAAUUUUCUGUUUCGACGUGGAAUAAAAUAACGUUACGGCUGAGUUAUCCAAUAAGAUUUCGUGUUUUGGCCAAGUUAUGAGAUACCAUAUGUUAUUAUGAUAUAUCAAACCAGCCACCAAAUUGUUGGUUAUAUUAGUAGCGUGAAAAUGUGCAAUUUGAAAA